CCCAAAGUGCUGGGAUUAUAGGUGUGAGCCACCAUGCCCAGCCAUGGGUUGAAGUUUUUAAAGGCAUGUUUUUUAGUCAGUAGUACAUUGCUUCGUUCUGUCUUACAUUUGCAUUCCAGUUCUCUUCAUCAUGUUCAUAGACAUAUUAAUGUUUAGUAUAUGAAUUUUAUGUAAUAAAGGAAGGUAUAUUUUCAUGGGAUUUUUGUAGUGGGAGAAUGACAUUUGGGCCUGAAAUAGGAUAUUUGUGUUGCAACUUUUUCAGUGUCAUGUGAUACCACAUUUUGACCACUUAGUUGAUGCCUCUGAAAGGAAGAGAAUCUGAUGGCUAAACUUUGACGUGUCGUCAGUGUGGAUCCUACUCAGUAGUGUCACAACGAGGCUGAAAAUCAUAUUAAGUGCUUUUAGGACAGAAACAUAAACUGCUCAGGUAAAAUAACAUUGUAAAGAAAAAUAAGAGUAUAUUGCAGAGGCCUUGGCUAGAUUCAUGAUGAUACAGGACCUUGUCUGAACAUAAUGAUUUCAAAACUUGAGCUUAAAAAUGACACUCUGAAAUCUAGUCAGUGUGCCUCACUAGACUUUGUGAUUUCAAGAUUUUCUGCAGAAAAUGUUGUGAAAACUUUGAAUACAUAAAAAUGGCAGGUGUAGUAUUGCACUUUGCUAGUUCCUCAGAUACCCUUUUUUGUUGGUGUAGAUACUAUGAGUUACUUUUUUUUUUUCUACAUGUUGUACGUUGUUGAAAGCUAAAAAGAAGCUUACCCUGGAUCACAGAAGGCACAGGCACUUGGUGAGAUGGAAACAAGGAUGUGUAAAAAUGAGACUACCACCUCUCGGAUAAAAAAAAUAAAAGUGCCAGAGUUCUAGGGUUCUAAGUGUUGUCCAGGAAGGAGGAGGAAUAAUAUUUAUGGAGCAUAUAUUAUGGAACACAGUCUGGAAGUGCUGAAGAAUAUGGAUAUAUUCAGGUCAAAUCAGACUUAUUUGUGAUACAGCAACUGAACAAGAAACUCAGACUUCAAACAAGCAUACCUCUUGGCUUGGACUGAAUAAAGUGAGAAGAAAUUACAGAGGAUUUAAACAUAUAUAUGGCCUUUGAAUUAUUGAAAUUAUUUUGGAGGAUGGUAACAAAUUUGGGACAUGUACUUUUUAUUGUAAUGUCAAUUAUAUGAUGUGUAACUCUCUCUAGUGAGCAUGGCUGGACACCGUGGCUUCACAUUUUAGGUUGACUGGGUGUUUUUAUCUAUUGUGUGAAUUACAGCCUUAGGUAAUGAUGUCAAGGUAGCAAGAAAAACUAAAAAAUUCCAUCCCUUAGAAAUUAUUAAAGUCACAACAACGAUAACUUCUUCAAAAGCUUUGACUUGCUGAAAUAAUGCUUUUCAUUUGUCUAAGAUGAGUACAUGGCAGAAUUUGGAAAUAACAGUUUUAAAAGACUAAAUACACUGACUUUUCUGAUAUCUUUCCCUCAUAGAGAGAAGGAAACAUUAAUGAUUUAUUAGAUGCCUUGAUUGUAAUUUUUACUGCACUUUCUUCAAGGCCUAGCAUAAUAAUUAGUGUCUAGUUAAGGUGUUAGAUGGAUAGUCAGUUUUUGUUCCAUUGGUAUGUUGUUAACCACAAUCAUUAGUAGAGUCAAUACAUGAAUGAAGAAAGUAAAACAAAUUUGUCCUCUAGUAGAGUACAGGCAAAGUAUGGCUGUCUAUUACACCCUUGAUUUUUUUUCUCUCCUUUGUUAGCGUUUAGGUCAAGAAAAAGCAUAUUUCAUUGUUACCGCAUAGCUGAGAGUAGGGAAUUGGGACAUAUUGUCUUGCUUUAAAUUAAAGUUGUUUUUCAUCAAGUAGAGAGAUUCCUAAGACAUUGCCAUAUUUGUGGUUGGGGGUUUGUUAAAAAUAGAAAAGGUGGUUCCUUAAGGUUGUGUUUUUAUUGGAUACCUCCACCUACUUCAGGCUAGCUCACUGGAGAAUAAAUAUUCCAUACAUGUUAAAAGAAAGCAUGUGUUCACAUAAACUUGUCCUUUGAGCAAAUCUGUUAGAAAUCAAGAGGCCAUUGCUGUUGGAGAGGUUAAGACAGAGUUUACUUAUUAGUGGGUUGAGAGUAGUUGACAACAUAAAAAUAAAUGAAAAUGCAUCUGUUAUAUUUGGGUUGGCAAAAUAUACUGGUUAUUUACUCUGUUGAUUCCUGUAGUAGACGUAAAUAUCUGCAAUUCAAUGUAAACAAGAAGGCGUGAAGAAUUAUUUUGAAAAUGGACAAAACAUGAACAGAUGAAGAAGAAUAACUGGAAAGUAAAUUUGUGAAAUAUCUCAAACUCAUUUACAUUCAGAAACAUCUUUUUAAGAUCACUGUGAUACAUGUGACUGUCAAUUCUGAAGAGACGUAUACAGGAGAUGCCAGCUAGGGUGCAAGGAGACUGCUUUCAUUCGUGGGCUAAAUUGGAGCUUAAAAAAGAUGGACCCAGGAUUAUUUCCUUUAGAAACUUACUGUACAAAAGAUACAGUUCACCCCAUUACAUAACUGAUCUGGAAUUUCUCUUCCAUCUGAGGGCUUUGUCAUCUUAACUGUAUUCACAUACUUUCAGCUGGUUCCCUUCUAACCUCAGAUU